UACGUAGGGGGCAAGCGUUGUCCGGAUUUAUUGGGCGUAAAGAGCGUGUAGGCGGCUUGGUAGGUCUCGCGUCAAAAACCUGAGGCUCAACCCUCAGUUCGCGUGGGAAACCACCUAGCUAGAGUCCGGAAGAGGAGAACGGAAUUCCCAGUGUAGCGGUGAAAUGCGCAGAUAUUGGGAAGAACACCAGUGGCGAAGGCGGAUCUCUGGGCCAUUACUGACGCUGAGGAGCGAAAGCGUGGGGAGCGAACAGG
rnacentral:rRNA from 1 species